rnacentral:rRNA from 1 species
GACGAACGCUGGCGGCGUGCUUAACACAUGCAAGUCGAACGCUGAAGCCUGCUUCGGUGGGUGGAUGAGUGGCGUACGGGUGAGUAACACGUGGGUAAUCUGUCCUGCACUCGGGGAUAACCUUGGGAAACCGGGGCUAAUACCGGAUGGGCACACGGCUCUCGCAUGGGGGUGUGUGGAAAGCGGUUACGGUGGUGCAGGGUGUGCCCGCGGCCUAUCAGCGGGUUGGUGGGGUAAGGGCCGACCAAGGCGACGACGGGUAGCCGGCCUGAGAGGGUGAUCGGCCACACUGGGACUGAGACACGGCCCAGACUCCUACGAGAGGCAGCAGUGGGGAAUUGUUCGCAAUGGGCGCAAGCCUGACGACGCAACGCCGCGUGGAGGAUGAAGGUCUUCGGAUUGUAAACUCCUGUUGCCCGGGACGAAUGGCUCCAGCCGAAUACGCUGGAGUGUGACGGUACCGGGCGAGGAAGCCCCGGCUAACUCUGUGCCAGCAGCCGCGGUAAUAC